rnacentral:misc_RNA from 1 species
AACGCAAAUUGCACUUUCUGGUAUUCCGGGAAGUAUGCCUGUUUGAGGGUCAGUAUAAUAAAAAUCGGGAGUGUUGCUUAUUUUCAUAUUUGGUAUCACUUUCGGAAUUGAGUUAUCUUUUUAACUAUUGGGUUAAAGUGACUUAAAAUUGAAAUUUCAUCCGUAUUUUAGGCGUGAUUAGAAUCAUCUAUGCGUCUUGAGUACUGGAAUUUUUUAUUAGGCGUAUACCAUCGUUAAACGGUAAAAAUGCCUAUAAUUUUUUUUGAAAUUUGACCUCAAAUCAAGUAAGAAUACCCGCUGAACUUAA